CGCAAAGCCGAGGGGUGCCCUUCGGGGCUGAGAGGGAACCACCCAACCCUUGGAACCUGAUCUGGGUCAUACCAGCGCAGGGACGGCUUCCAUCGGUUCU
rnacentral:ncRNA from 1 species